ensembl:lncRNA
GAUAUCUGAAAAAUGUUGAGCUGCCUUUGUUCAUUCUUGGAUAUAAAUUCCUUCUGAUCUUUGAAAAAGUCUACCUUACAAGGGCAUGCAAUGAUGUAUCCAUGGACGUGCUGCUGAUCAUCUGUAGAUACAAACUCAAAUUUUGUCUUUGUGGAUUAUACCAUCAGAAGCAAGUUUAGGUUGAAGAUUGUAGAGACAUAAGUCAAGUAAUUUCUGCCAUCAACAUCAUUUUCCAAGUCCAUCAUGCUAAAAUCUCAGUGAAAAACAGGAUAAUUUUAUUUGUACUGCAAUCCAAGCUGCUAAAGACAGUUAUCUUUAAAAGACAAGCAAAAAUUACAAAAAGAUCUGCACAAAAGCAACAACAGACAACAGGUCAGAGCCAUCUGUCUCUGGCAUCUCUAAUUUUGUGCAAAGUCUGCAACUUUUGAGGGUGAUGCUCUUCUGCCCUUGCUUCCAUCAAUUAGCAGUGUCUGUCUUCCAUAAACUGGCAUUUGUCAAGACACCUCCGAUUUUUUUAAAGAUAAGAAAACUGAGGUAAGAAGGUUAAGUAAUCCACUCAGAGCCUCAAUUGAUCCAAAUCCAAACAGGCUAGCUCCUGAGGAGAUGUAAAAGACAUUGGUUUGACCCCUGGGUGAGGAAGAUCCCCUGGAGAAGGGCAUGGCAACACACUCCAGUAUCCUUGCCUGGAGAAUCCCAGGGACAGGGAGUUGGAUAUAACUUGGUGACUGAACUUGCAGUUUAG